AAACGAAGAAGAAAGGAGAAAUAGAAGUGAAAGAGGAGGAGGAGCCAAGCCGCAAUGUUUAGGAUGUACCGGUGUCCCAAGCUGGUGGAUGUCCCGGUGGUGGUGGAGCUGCCCUCUGUCAUGUACAAAAUGGCACCUUUCACCUUAAAAGGCCACGAUUCGAGUCCCGCCCAGCUGAUGCAAACUUCCAAGCCCUGCCCAUCCUGCAGCUCCCGCGAGUGAUCCUGUACGCCCUGCCGCUGCUGCCGCUCCUGCUGGUGGUGACCCUGACAAUGAGAGUCAACCUGUGCUCUGUUCUCAUGGACUUUUACCAUUAUCGUGUGCUGUGAGUGGCGUAGAGCACUGACUGACUAUUAUUAGUAUUAUUAUUAUUACUAUUGUUGUUAUUAUUAUUAUUAUUAUUAUUAUUAUUAUUACUAUUACUAUUAUUAUUACUAUUAUUAUUAUUAUUAUUGUUAUUGUUGUUGUUGUUGUUGUUUUGACGUGUACAAGUUGAUAUAUAAAUAAUUUGCCUGUA